GGGAUUUUCAUGAAAGGAUUACAUUAUUUAAAGUUGUGAUUUUGGUCUGUUUUCAGAUUUUGGGAGAGUCCUGCCAGCAAAGAUGGGGCGCGUUCAACAACCACUGCAGAGCCUGAAGAUGAUGGAGAUGAUGGAGAUGGAGACAUCUCUACGAUGGACCCUGAGCCAGUAGUGGUCCAUCGUGGAUCUUAGUGCAACAUGCGAUGUUUCCAUCGUUCAUUAGGUGUUCAGGUAAAGCCUCAGAUGAUGGAUGUGGGGACUCAAACCAAAAGGUUUGAGACACGAAGAUCGACUCCACUGGCCAGUCCUGAACAAAGUGAUGAUGAAUGGUCAUUUUCUGAUAUAAACCUUUCUGGUGAUAUGUCAUGGAUUCCAGAGGAACACAUGUUGAGCGAGACCUCUGAGGAGGAACCAGAAGAGCUGGAAUCUCUCAGUGACCGAAAUGCUGUUGACAAGUACAUUGUUUGCCAGAGGCAAUUGAUGUCUCUGAUCACUGUUUGCCCUGCAUGCUGUGGGGAAACCCAUGGACACAAAAUGCACCCGGAAGGAACCUUCAUAAAAGUGAAGCAGCGCACACUAUCCCUGACAUCGUGCAGGCCUGGAGGAAUGAGCAGAGGGGGAUCAUCAGGGAGUUAAAGGAGACUGGGGGUGGAAUGAUCCUGUCUGGAGACUGCAGAUCAGAUUAUCCUGGACACUGAACCAAAUAUGGUAGCUACUCCUUGAUUGAGGACCAAAUUAACAAAGUUUUGGAUGUUCAACUUGUCCAAAGCUCAGAAGUCCCAAGCAGCUCUUGGUGUGAGCUAGAGGGUCUAAAGCGGAGUAUGCAGUUCCUGAUGGACCAAGACAUGCCAGUGUCUGCUCUGAUAACAGACAGAAAUCGGCAGGUUAUAAUGCUAGGAGAGAUCUAUAGCUGAACAGUAUCGACUUCACUGUAAAAAAUAAAAAGUUGAGAGAACUCAAAAUUGCAAGGAA
ensembl:lncRNA